rnacentral:rRNA from 1 species
CCUACGGGUGGCAGCAGUAGGGAAUCUUCCACAAUGGGCGCAAGCCUGAUGGAGCAACACCGCGUGAGUGAAGAAGGGUUUCGGCUCGUAAAGUUCUGUUGUUGGAGAAGAACGUGCGUGAGAUAAUCUGUUUACGCAGUGACGGUAUCCAACCAGAAAGUCACGGCUAACUACGUGCCAGCAGCCGCGGUAAUACGUAGGUGGCAAGCGUUAUCCGGAUUUAUUGGGCGUAAAGCGAGCGCAGGCGGUCGCUUAAGUCUGAUGUGAAAGCCUUGGGCUUAACCGAAGAAGUGCAUCGGAUACCGGGCGACUAGAGUCCUGAAGAGGGCAGUAGAACUCCAUGUGUAGCGGUGGAAUGCGUAGAUAUAUGGAGGAACACCAGUGGCGAAGGCGGCUGUCUGGUC